rnacentral:lncRNA from 1 species
UAUUAUCCUUGUAGGAUUUCCAAAUGUAGUCGGGGAAGUGGAUGGUACACAGAUCCGGAUUCAAGGGCCGACAGAACAUGAAGAAGAUUAUGUAAACAGGAAAGGCUUCCACUCGAUAAAUGUUCAAAUGAUAUGUGACGCAAGAUCCAUGAUUUUGGAUGUUGUUGCAAAAUGGCCCGGAAGUGUGCAUGAUUCAAAGAUAUUCCGGGACAGCGAAGUGGGCGGGCGAUUAGAAAGAGGUGAGAUCGACGGUUUCUUGCUGGGGGACUCUGGAUAUCCCUGUAGAAAAUGUUUGAUGACCCCGU